AACGAACGCUGGCGGCAUGCCUAACACAUGCAAGUCGAACGAGACCUUCCGGCCUAUUGGCGCACGUCUGCGUAACGCCUGGGAACCUGCCCUUAGGUUCGGUAUAACUCCCCGAAAGGUGUCUUAAUACCGGUUAAUGUCAUCGGACCAAAGAUUUAUCGCCUUUGGAUGGGCCCGCGUUGGAUUAGCCAGUUGGUAGGGUAAAAGCCUACCAAGGAGACGAUCCAUAGCUGGUCUGUGAAGAUGAUAAUCCACACUGGCACUGAGACACGGACCAGACUGCGACGGAGGGCAGCAGUAGAGAAUAUUGGACAAUGGGCGAAAGCCUGGUCCAGCAAUGCGGCGUGAGUGAUGAAGGGCUUAGGGUUGUAAAGCUCUUUUACCCGGGAUGAUAAUGACAGUAACGGGUGAAUAAGCACCGGCUAACUCCGUG
rnacentral:rRNA from 1 species